rnacentral:lncRNA from 1 species
CAUCCAAAUUUUGUAUUUUUGCUUGAAGAUUAAGAAGAAUGGAAAGAAACUUAUUUUUUAUUUUCUUCGAAUGAAUUGAGGUUAUGUGCUUACCUUUGAGCUUAAUCUAUAAUUAAUAACUUGAGAGGUUAUGUAGACUUUGGAAAACUAACUUUUCACUAAUACUUCUUUGUUGCAUCAGUCAAAAAGACUGAGUUUAAUUAAAGAAUAAUUGAAUUGUGAUGGGAGGAUAAAUGGCAUAUGGUUGAGUAUUUCAUAUAAGCCAUGGAAAUGUAGAUUUUAUUAUACUAUAACUUAUAAAAUCUUUGAACUUAAAUGAAGAAUCUAUGGCUAUUUGGAAAGUGGUUUCAUUUUUUGAAAUCUUGAACUUAAAUGAAGAAUCAAUCACUAUUUGAGAUGCGAUUUUAUUAUAUUUAUGUGAUA